rnacentral:misc_RNA from 1 species
UCUUUCGUUUGANUAAUAUCAUGCGUAAUUUACUAUUCGUAUACUCACAGCUCGGANGAGAGCAGAGAGGUAUUUAUGUGUGUCAGCACUUGGAUGACUGGCAGAACUGGUCUAGACAUAUUCCAACCAUUACGCAUGAAUUUCCCGUCAAUAUUUGGACACCGGCCAGAGUUUGUACUACGUGAAGAAGACUUGACUUCCUUGUAUUCUGUCCAUCUCUGAUUAUACUUGAAAGGGCCUUUGAAACUUCACGGAUCAAAACCUAAGAUGAACAUGUUCAGUCAAGUCCUCAUUGGAUUGCUCAUGGUUCUAGUAGAUAAUGCAGCAGUUAUCAAAGAUGAAAGCCAGUGCACUGCUAAAGUUGUUGGGUCUUUGUGCAAAUCACAUGCUGAUUGUUACUGCCCGAAUACGUACAUCUUGUGUAAUCACGAGAAAAGGUGCGAAAACGCUAGUCUGGCCCUCAUCUCCAUUCUUCUUCCAUGUCCUAAAAUAUUCAAGACGCGCUGUGAGUCUGAUGCCGACUGUACUUGUUCUGAGGAACGACUAAAGUGCGAGCAAAACGAGUGUGUACGUUUUAAGAAGAAUGGUGGAAAUCCUAGUUUGACACCACAGUGGCCAUGUAAAUAAUACGUGUACGCAACUAACAUUACAGUAGAGCUGUUACGUAAGGCAAACAAAACUAUCCUCGUAAUAUUUUAAAGUCAGUUUAUUACGUGCCUUAUGAUAGUGUUAGAGAGUUUUAGAUACUGGUUUACGGCGAACGCCAAACGUCAAAACUGAUCACGUGAUCACUGUUU